CCACAGACUGCAAGAGAGAAGGGGUGAGAAGAGCGAUUAACAACUGUGGGGGAAUUGGCUAGAGCCCCGUGAGGUGGUGUUGUUCAGGUGGGGACUCUGCAGAGUGCCAGGACCUUCCAAGCCUGUACAUCGUCAGUACUGACGGGAGCAGAGAAUCAAUCCUGACACUGUGGGAGACAUCCUGCAAGGGACAGGACACUGGAGCCUUCCUUCCUGCUGCUUCAGACAUUUUUGAGCCAUUUCUUAACGCGGAUGGGGCUCUCUCUGGUCCGUGUGCCUUCCUUUCACCCCGUGUCCCAGCCCUCCCAGUGACAGCCGAGCCCUGCUGGCAUCUGACCACUACAACAGCACCAGGCAGGGAGCUACUCACCCGGCACACACUCAGGAACCUCUUCUCCACGCUGUCUGUCCUUCCACUUCCGAGAGGAUGGGCAGCUAAGUGUCCCUGCAGAGCAGAAUGAGGGGCAGCAAAGGAUUGGGGGGCGUCCAGCUCCCCAAUGUGAUGGCUACUCAGAAGGACUCAGCAGAAUUCCCCUUACAAACCUGGAUUCCUGCUUUCUCCUCUUCGGCCUGUAAGCUUUACAGGGCCACGAAUUUCCUGGAAUUAAUAGCUGGAGUCAAGCAAUGGCUGUCUCACUAUCAAGGUCACCGCGGGACAAGGAUAGAGUCAGUUCAGGAAGUGUGCCACUGUGGGGUGGGCAACGAGACCCUCCUCCUAACCACGUGGGAGCCAGUCUUCUAGCAGCCUUCAGAUGAAGAUGUAGAACUCUCAGCUCCUCCUGCACCAUGCCUGUCUGGACGAUGCCAUGUUUCCUCCUUGAUGAUAUGGACUGAACCUCUGAGCCUGUAAGCCAGUCCCAAUUAAAUGUUGUCCUCAUAAGAGUCGCCUUGGUCAUGGUGCCUGUUAACAGCAGUAAAAACCUAAGACAGUGGGUAACAUAACAUUUCUGGAGGUUCCACAGAGAUCCUCAGAAACCAUAUAUUAAGACACCAGGGGUCUCACUUAGGUCCCCUUAAAGCAGUGAAGAGUGCAUUGGUCAAAGGGCUCCUAGGGAGUGUGCGGUCUAAGAUGUCCUAGGUCCCCAGGAUCCCCUUUGAUCAAUGGCUGCCUAAGGACACUUUGGAGGUGUCUGAUGCCUCCACCCCAAAAGGAAACAAAUUAGAAAGUCACCUGAUGGAUCACUUCCAGAGGUAAGUGUGGUUAAGGCACCUUCUGUUUGGACACAUAGGAGAGGUUGGAUAUCGUCCCUGAUCUAGAGAGAUGUCACUUGGUCCUUCUGUCUGUUCAUGUGUAUACAUGUGUGGUGUUCCCUCCCCCUGGCUUCUUAACUGGGUCUCUCUCUGCCUUCCUCUGUCUGUCCCUGUCUCUUGCUGUUUUUCUCUGUGUCUGCCUGUCUCUUCUUUGUAACUCUGUCUCUCAGUCUCUCUCUCUCUCUCUCUCUCUCUCUCUCUCUCUCUGUGGGGUGUGUGUGUGUGUGUGUGUGUGUGUGUGUGUGUGUGUGUUUGUCUUCCUAUGUAUUUUCCAGUUCUGUUUCUCUGUAUUGACCAGUGGCUUACUAUGAUGUGAGACUUUCCAUAAACACCCUCCACCCUCAGCUUAAGAACUGUGCCUCUUGUCGGGGACUCAAAUCUGUCUGCCUCUGUCAGAUCAUCCAGAGAACUCAAAAAACAAAAACAAAAACAAAACCCUCCGCCUCUCACUCUAGAGUGCUUGCUUGUUUUGUUGAGUGACUCCUGCCUAUGGUCUAGGUUGGUUUGGUCCCUGAGUUGAGGUGGGGAGGACCAGACCUCUCUCAUCCAGGGCUCCCUGCCAUUUGAACAGAAUGCAGACCCAGAAGGAGAAAUACUCCCCACCCCGUAUGUGUUUUCCCCCAGGUCCCUGCCUGCUCUAUGCAGUACCAGGGAAUGGGAAAAAAAAAAGAAAGUCCAGUCUUUCUUUUUUCAUGACUUAUGCCUCAUUUUCAACCAAUAAUCCAUAUAAUUGGAAAACUCAGAACCUACCAUUCUCUGAAAAAAAAUGAGAAAAACAGCUCCUGGGCUAGACAAAGCAGCUUGUACAGAAUGGACUUUCCUUUCUGCUCAACACAGACCAUGAAGACUUUAAUCAAUUUUGGUCAGGUUCUUUUCAGAAGAAUUAAAGACAAUUGCUAAAAAAGAUUUCCUUUUUCACUCAGUCAUCCCCAGAUAUUAAUUAAAAAAGCUAUAAAAAGUUAAAAAAUUAAAGUAAUAAACUGGUCCUAGUUGCUGGAUGUAGUUCAAAAGGUGUUUGUGGUGGUUUGAAUAUACUUGGCCCAGGGAGUGGCACACUAGUAGGUGUGACCUUGUUGAAGGAAAUGUGUCACUGUUUGGGUGUGUCACCUUGAGACCCUCCUCCUAGCUGACUGGAAGACAGUUUUCUCCUGUUUGCCUUUGGGACAAGAUGUAGAACUCUCAGUCACUCCCGUGCCAUGCCUGCCUGGACACUGCCAUGCUUCCUGCCAUGAUGACAAUGCCCUGAACCUCUGAACCUGUAAGACAGCCCCACUUAAAUGUUUUUCUUAGUAAGAGUUGCCUUGGUCAUGGUGUCUCUUCACAGCCAUGGAAACCCUAACUGAGACAGUGUUUAACAACAAAAAGAGCUGUGGUGGCUACUGCUAGGCUAGUGCCAGUAAACAAACAAACAAACAAACAAACAAACAAAGUUAACUCUCGGUCAGAAUCUUCUACUCACAGUAUCCCAUGCAGUUGAGACACUCCUCUGAGGAACACCAGAAUGCUAGCUGUCUAACGCCCGUGUGGCCCAGUACCAGGCCUACUCCUGGACCAUGUUCAAGUUUGAGAAAUACACCGCGAUCCAUCCUGCUACGUUCUUGCCUGAUGUCGACCUAUAGUUACUUAUCUACUGCCCCAAGAUGAAAAAAGACCAGGAACCUGGGAGCUCUAGUAAUGGCUUUAACUGAAAUGACUUAGGCCCAAACCAGGUACCUCAGGCCAGAGAGCAGAACUAAGCCAUCUGACCCAGGCUCUCAGAUGGAGAAAAGGAAAGUUCCUCACUGUCUACAUGGGCAGCUGCUAUGCUUUUACUACAGUGCGUGUCUACGGUUUGAUCUGUAGAGGAAGAACGUUUCUCACCACUGGGAGAAGGACUUUAAAAACAAUGAGAAAAUCGUGGCCCUCAUGAAGGCUAUUUGGCUUCCCCUAUGAGUUGGUCUCCUCCACUGCCAAAGACAUCAAAAAGAUAACUUCCCUGAGGCAAGAGAAACUGGGUUGUUGAUCUAGCUGCCUGACAGGCAAGUGGCUCUAAACAAGUGGGGCCUCUUGAUAUUCUGAUGACACACCCCACUCCAGUGCUGCCUGUGACUCCUGUACAACCAAGGGGAGAUAGAGGAUGAAAAAAAAUACAGUUGGAACCCGCAGGUUGAUGGAGGACACCAGUGGGAAAGAUCAAAUGAUGGAGCAUUAAAAUUAAGUUUUCAUCAGGUCCGGGGCCCUUCUAUCCCCUGCCCAUUUUGUCCCCUCCUGAAUCUUACAUUUGAUAUGAAUACAGACAGGGUCAUGUCCAAUUCCCAGUGCCCUCAGGCCUGUACUUGGGAAUUGAGGAAGACAGAUACUGGGAAGGCAUUAGAAUGUGACUACACACCAGCAUCUCACAUUCAUCUGGACAUGAUGUCCGAUUUAAAGGUUUGGUGCUAUUGAAAAAAAAAGAUGUGGGAGUUUGGCUUUUGAGAUAAGAGUUUACAAUUUUAUGCACGCCCUGUGGUGGGCCCCCCUGAGUUGCCAAGAGCAAGGGAGUUUCCAUUGCAAAAGUUGAGGUUGUGAAACAGAGGCUUCCUGGAAAAUUCCUUAAGAUUCUGGUUCUUUGGGAAACAGGGAAAACCUGGGGAAUCAGACUUUAGUGCCACAGGAAUAGAUGCUAGGCAAAGAUUUAAACUGCCUCUCAAGGUUCCCAGGCCUUUGGGGUCCCGCACAUGCUGUGUCUGUCCUCACUGUACUCCUGGUUGGAGCUGGCAUAGACACAUCAGCCCUUAUCACGGGAGAUAAAAACCAAAACCAAAACCAAAACUAUGGAUCCAGGCUGAUCCGGACCCAGAGGUAUUAAACGUUUCUAUUUCUGAAUGAAAACCACAGUAGAUUCCCUCAAAAAAGUUGUCCUCCUACAGAAACAGAGAGACUUACACUUACGUCUCAUGGGAUAAGGUGGACUAUGUAUGGCUUUGAGAGAAACCUGUUGUUUCUAUGCUAAUCGAUUAGGAGUAAGAAGAUAUAAUGACACAAUUGGUACCAGGCUCUGUUCUGUUGGUCCUUCAGGCUAGCUACAUUGUUACCAGCCCUGGCUGGACCUUUAAUUCUUAUUCUGCUUCAAUUAACAGAAGGGCCGCUGCAGCCUAAGCUGCACAGGCCAUUGUGUACCAGUUUGGCAAAACUAGUGUAGUGGUUCUUGGGAGCAACUGAACCUCUUUAUAGCAUGGUGAGCCCAUGACUUGACCCAUUCACGAAAACCAGGUCCCUAGACCUUAGCAUAACUGACUCACGAUUGAAGGACCAUUCGGACUGUAAAACUCAGCUUGUAGAGAGGACCCCCCCACACACACACACAAACAAAAGCAAAGACCGAACCCAUCAAAGUCCAUAGUUCUGGGAAAGUCUCUAAAGUUUUGCUUCUUGGUUUCUGCAGUUCUGUGUCUGGCUAAUUGCUCUUGUUAAUUGAACUACGCCAACCUAAGAUACAUUGUACUCAUCCUGAGAAAGGCUCAGGUCUACACUGGGAUCCUGAACACCCAGUGUGAUAGCGGGCUGGCUAAGAAAGUGUCUAUUUGCUUAAACCCGUGUCUGAGUAGUCUUCUCUGGUGGAGACCCCACCACAGUGCACAGCACAGUGCCUCUAGCGCCCCAGCUUUGAGUCAGAGUAUAUGCAUAGUAAGUCCCAAGCUGUCACUUUCCACUUUCCUGAGUAAUUUUCUGCAGCCACCAUUUUCUAAAGCAACAUGACCCACUGUGAAGGCCUCAUGCCCUUUCUAGUUUCCUCAUGGUACCAUUCCCCUCGCUCAGGAAAUCCUCAGUGUGUGGGAAUCCAAGGACAAAGUACACACGAUGUGGCUGUAGUCGAGACUGGAUGUCUGUGCUUAACUUAGUAACAUUUUCCAUGUGCAGCUAGGGUCUGUGAUGAGAUCCAGGGCCUUGUGGAUUCCGGGCCAGUGUUACACUCCAGCCCUUGGUUUUUGGAGAUAGGACCUCCCUACACAGCCUGGGCUAGCCUCAAACUUUUGUGUUAACCCACAUUUCUUGGAUGGUGCUCCUGCUGCAGCCACUUCCUUUUGUCCUUCUCUUCCAACUUCUCCCUUCCUCUUCUUCUUUUAUUUCUUUGACACUGUAAGACUGGCCUCAGACUUGUGGUCCUCUUACCUCUGCCUUCUGAGGGCUGGGAUUACAGAUGCAUACUACCACAUCUGGAUUAUUAUUGGUUUGUUUUAUUUUAGGCAGAGUUUCACGAUGUAGCCCAGGUUGGCUUGGAAUUCAGUAUGUAGCCCAGGCUAACAUUGAAUUUAUGACAAUUUCUCCCUCAGCUGAGCUCCCAUGCUGGGCUUUUUCUGGCGUCUUGCCAGUUCUCCAUUCUCCCAUUCUCUACACAGUCCAAGUUUCUUUGCGACACCAUCCAGUCUGACUCUCCACGGUCACAUUCACCGAGAACUUGGCAGGAAACCAUCUCUUAAUCACGGCAAACUUUUUGCUCAGACAUGCCCAGACUUUUCAACAUCAACAAAUGGACCUUCUCACAUUUAAGAGGCAGAAAGCACUUGAUGUAGGAGACAUCUGGGUUGAUUGAGCAUGAACUCUCUCUCCCCUUCCCCCUGCCCUCCUCAUUCCUUUCCUUCCCUUCCUAUCCAUUUCCCCUUCCCUUCUUCCUUCCUUCCAGUUUUUGUUCUUUCUGCCUAUGUGUGCGUGUGCCUACAUGUAGGUGUGCAUGGGACGUGUACCCACUCCUGAAUACGUGUGCUGAGGACAGAGGUCGGCACUGGACUGCCUCCUUUAUUUCUCUUCACCUUAUUUUUUGAAGCAGGGUCUUUCCCUGAACCUGGAACUCACCCUUCCACUGGCCGGUAAACCCCUGGGCUUUACCAUUUCCCUGCUACAGCCCCUCGAGCGCUGGGGUUGCAGAAACAUGCCACCAUGCCUGGCUUUUGCCUGGGUCUCGGGGAUCUGAACUCAGGCCAUUUUGUUUGUUCUCUGUGGGACUUGGGACUUUCUUUUCUUUUGUGUGUGUGUGUGUGUGUGUGUGUGUGUGUGUGUGGUGUGAGUGUGUGUGUCUGUGUGUGUGUGUUUGUGUGGUGUCUGUGUGUGUGUGGUGUGGGGUGUGUGUGUCUGUAUGUGUGUGUGUGGUGUGUGUGUGUGUAUGUAUGUUUAUGUGGUGUCUGUGUGGUGUAUGUGUGUGUGGUGUCUGUGUGUCUGUGUGUGUGUGUUUGUGUGGUGUCUGUGUGUAUGUGUAUGUGUGUGUGGUGUCUGUGUGUGGUAUGUGUCUGUUUAUGUGGUGUCUGUGGGGUGUGUGUGUGUGUGUGUGUGUGUGUGUGUGUGUGUGUGUGUGACUUUCCCUGGAAGGAGAAAGGAAGGAGAAAUCACAUCCUUGAACUUGAACUCUUCAAUGAAAAGGGAAGAGUGGCCAAUUGUGGGGUGCACAUCUUUAGUCCCAGUACUUGGAGGGCAGAGGCAGGUGGAUCUCUGUGAGUUUGAGGAAAAGCUAGGGAUAAACAGAGGAGUCCUGUCUUGAAAAACAAAACAAAACAAAACAAAACAAAACAAAACAAAACA